UACGUAGGGAGCAAGCGUUGUCCGGAAUCAUUGGGCGUAAAGGGCUCGUAGGCGGUCCGUCACGUCGGGAGUGAAAACUCAGGGCUCAACCCUGAGCGUGCUUCCGAUACGGGCGGACUAGAGGUAUGCAGGGGAGAACGGAAUUCCUGGUGUAGCGGUGAAAUGCGCAGAUAUCAGGAAGAACACCCGUGGCGAAGGCGGCUCUCUGGGACGGUACUGACGCUGAGACGCGAAAGCGUGGGGAGCGAACAGG
rnacentral:rRNA from 1 species